UCCGUAGGCGGGCGUCUAAGUCAGUGGUGAAAUCCUACGGCUCAACUGUAGAAUUGCCAUUGAAACUGUCGCUCUUGAGUAUAGUUGAAGUGGGCGGAAUGUGUCAUGUAGCGGUGAAAUGCAUAGAGAUGACACAGAACACCAAUCGCGAAGGCAGCUCACUAAACUAUAACUGACGCUCAGGCACGAAAGCGUGGGUAGCGAACAGGAUUAGAUACCCUGGUAGUCC
rnacentral:rRNA from 1 species